UGGGGAAGGACACAGUGUGCGUGUCUUGCCUUCACUGCCACCUCCUCCUUCUCUCAAUAUCCUCUUGCUGGGAGGAGGUUCCUCAUCUCCGUUGUUGCAUCCAGCUGCUGCUACUGCGAGUGCCACGUGCCUUGUAAGGCACGUACAAUUCAGAGGACUUUCGAAAUUAUCUGAAAACAUGGGUGAUUCUCACUGCCAGCCUUGAUCUGUGAGAAAAGAACCGUAUACCACAGAUCCCAACCCUUCUCAGUGUAUACAACUCUUUUUAUCAUUAAAAAAAAUUAUAGAUUGUUAGACUCCUACCUGACAAAUGUAUUCCUUUAAUAUCCAUUAAUUGAGAAAAUUUACAGUGAUGAACCGCUACUUUCAGGUUGAUAAUGCUAUUUAAAUAAUUUUUACUUAAAAUCACACAUCUACAUAUAUUUGAAAUACAUAUACACACCAUUUUGGGUUGAAUUGUGUCCACCAAAAAGAUACAUCCAAGUUCUAACCUCAAGUACCUGUGAAUGUGACCUUAAGACGAGAUAAUGGAGUGACGUGGGCCCUUCACCAAAUACGUCCAUGUCCUCAUAAGAAGAGAGGAGACACACAGACAAAAAUGCACACAGAAGGAAGAUGAUGUAAAGACAGACAAGGAAGAAGGCUAUGUAAAGACAGAGGCAGAGAUUGAAGUUAAGCAGCUGCAAGCCGAGGAAAGCAGACGAUUGCUGGGAACCACCAGAAGUGAGGAAAAGGCAAGGCAGGAUUCUUCUCUAGAGCCUCCAGAGACAGCAUGACCCUGCUGAUGCCUUGCUUUCUGACUUCUGGGCUUCCAGAACUGUGAGAGAAUAAAUUUCUGUUGUUUUAAGGCCUAUAGUUUGCAGUACUUUGUUACUGCAGCCCUAGGAAACGAAUUCACCUGCAUGUGUUUAACUUUUAUUCUGUCCACAAACAAUACCUGAUGUAUGUAAGUAUUCAUGGAUCGCUGUCAAUAAUUCCGAAGUCCCCAGGUGGGAAAACAGGGUUCAGCCAACAUGAAUUUCUCUCUAUCCCCAAUUAAUAUACUGUGCUUUCCUCCUUUGGUGCCUUACUCAUUUUCUUGCUUCUGUCUACUGCGCUAUACUUCUCAUCUCCCCUACUGAAAUUCUUGCUAGUGAAAGUGCCGUUUUCAUGAAUACAUUCAUGUUCCCACCCAGAUGAAAGUGAUCUAAGGCCGGGCGUGGUGGCUCAUGCCUGUAAUCCCAGCACUUUUGGAGGCCGAGGCAGGCGGAUCACGAGGUCAGGAGAUCGAGACCAUCCUGGCUAGCAUGGUGAAACCCCGUCUGUACUAAAAAAUACAAAAAAAAAAAACUUAGCUGGGCGUGGUGGCGGGCACCUGUAGUCCCGGCUACUCAGGAGGCUGAGGCAGGAGAAUGGAGCGAACCCAGGAGGCAGAACUUGCAGUGAGCCGGGAUCACGCCACUGCACUCCAGCCUGGGCAACAGAGCGAGACUCCAUCUCAAAAAAAGAAAAAAAAAAAA
rnacentral:lncRNA from 1 species